rnacentral:lncRNA from 1 species
AAGUGAAUCAAUAUUAAAGCCAAAAUAUGCAAUCUUUAAUGACCUGAUAACAGUAUCGUAACUAUAUCCCUUCUUAAUAAGUCUGUUUAAAGGUUUUGAAAGCUUUUGAGGUGAAUACUGACAUUGUUGUGCUUUGUAAAGAAUAUUACCAUAAAAGAUUGGAUGUGAAAUACCUGAACGUAUAAAAUGUCUGCAUGUUGAGUUAUAUUUACGAAUUAUU